UUUGUACUCCCUCCGUCCCAAAAUUCUUGUCUUAAAUUUUUCUAAAUAUGGAUGUAUCUGGUUACAUUUUAGUGUUAGAUACAUCCGUAUCUAAACAAACGUAAGACAAGAAUUUUGGGACGGAGGGAAUACUAC
rfam:Triticum aestivum genome assembly, contig: Triticum_aestivum_CS42_TGACv1_scaffold_289114_4AL